rnacentral:rRNA from 1 species
ACAGCAGCAGCCACGGGAAUACGUAGGGUGCAAGCGUUAAUCGGAUUUACUGGGCGUAAAGCGUGCGUAGGCGGCUUUUUAAGUCGGAUGUGAAAUCCCUGAGCUUAACUUAGGAAUUGCAUUCGAUACUGGGAAGCUAGAGUAUGGGAGAGGAUGGUAGAAUUCCAGGUGUAGCGGUGAAAUGCGUAGAGAUCUGGAGGAAUACCGAUGGCGAAGGCAGCCAUCUGGCCUAAUACUGACGCUGAGGUACGAAAGCAUGGGGAGCAAACAGGAUUAGAUACCCCCGUAGUCCCUGUCUCUUAUAC